rnacentral:rRNA from 1 species
GAUGCGGGAGUGCCUUCGGGAAUCGGAACACAGGUGCUGCAUGGCUGUCGUCAGCUCGUGUCGUGAGAUGUUGGGUUAAGUCCCGCAACGAGCGCAACCCUCAUCUUCAGUUGCCAUCGGGUUAAGCUGGGCACUCUGAAGAAACCGCCGGUGACAAGCCGGAGGAAGGCGGGGAUGACGUCAAGUCCUCAUGGCCCUUAUGGGCUGGGCUACACACGUGCUACAAUGGUGGUGACAGUGGGAUGCAAGGGGGCGACCCUGAGCAAAUCUCCAAAAGCCAUCUCAGUUCGGAUUGCACUCUGCAACUCGAGUGCAUGAAGGUGGAAUCGCUAGUAAUCGCGGAUCAGCAUGUCGCGGUGAAUACGUUCCCGGGUCUUGUACACACCGCCCGUCACACCAUGGGAGUGGGUUCUACCAGAAGUAGUUAGCCUAACCGCAAGGAGGGCGACUACCACGGUGAGAUUCAUGACUGGGGUGAAGUCGUAACAAGGUAACCGUAA